AUUGAACGCUGGCGGCAUGCCUUACACAUGCAAGUCGAACGGUAACGGGCCUUCUGGUGCCGCCGAGUGGCGUACGGGUGGGUAAUACACCGGAACGUGACCGACCUUGGGGGGUAACGAGGCGAAAGCUUUGCUAAUACCGCACACGAUCUUCGGAUGAAUUCCGGGGUCCGCAAGGCCAUGCUGGGAUGGAGCGGCUGCUGGCAGAAUAGGUAGUGGGUGGGAUAGAAGCUUACCAAGCCGACGAUCUGUAGCUGGUCUGAGAGGAUGAUCGGCCAAACUGGGACUGAGACACGGCCCAGACUCCUACGGGAGGCAGCAGUGGGGAAUUUUGGACAAUGGGCGCAAGCCUGAUCCAGCCAUGCCGCGUGCAGGAUGAAGGCCUUCGGGUUGUAAACUGCUUUUGUACGGAACGAAAAGCCUUCUUUUAAUACAGGAGGGUCAUGACGGUACCGUAAGAAUAAGCACCGGCUAACUACGUG
rnacentral:rRNA from 1 species